UUGUAAAUAAAAUGUAUAUUUCAUUUCAGUAGCAUAUCACAUCAAAUACAAUACAUCAUCCAACGACUCCACGCAUUAAAGUUCAACGCCUAAAAAAGGCACAUCAAAAUAAUUUUACAUGUGCACAACAGAAUACUUCUACAAGUGCAAGGGCACAGAAAAAGGACCCAACAAGUGCACAAUCACACAUAAAGAGAGUUCCACAAAGAUAGGAUAAGAACCACAAGUUUCUCCUCAUCGUCUUCCUCUGCUCAAUAUGCUCUUGCCAUUGUCGCCUGCAAGAAGAAGAUGAUGCAACUCCUAGUUAAACCUAGAAAGUAAAAAUAUUCCAACCGUCCAACUAAUAUGUAACUGUUCUAUAGCCAUAGGAUGAAGCAGGAGACGUCUACCCCAUUAGUCUUUCCUUCUACGCUUGUGAAAAGAAAAAAGAAUCUACAGGAGACUACUAGAUCGUAGAUCGCUGCGACGCGCAGCGCCCAUCUAUUUUGGCUCUUGUAAUUAUUAGGUAUAUGAAACAAAAAAAUCCUGUGUUUGUGAUCUUAUAAUUGUUAGGAAUAUGAAUCUAAUUUAUAUAUUCUUGUUUUCAGUGUUUUGAACAUAUGAGCUAGUUUCUACAUUCUUGCUGGCUUCACACUUCUCCAUGCACAAAAAGUAACAAGUGUUCAUUAAUUAAUAUUUCAAGAGAAGCAGAAUUGCAUUGAAAGAAGAAAUAUACAAUGGAUAGGUAGGACAUUUGGAAGAAGAUACAUGAUAAAAGUAGAGGUCUUAUAAUUAUCAUCCGGUCAUUGCUUAGCAGAUUAAAAUUGUAUAGAUAAAUCCACAACUAUACCACAACUUUAAUGGUCUUGUGAAGCUAUCGAGCGAGUGAGAAAGUCUAUUACGUAAUUUGUAUACAGAUGCACUGAGAGAAAUGAACAGAUUUUAUAAGAAUCUAACCAGUAGCUAGACUGCGUAUGAAUUGUUGUGACCUCAAUAAGUACACAUGCUCCAAAGUGAAGGAGUGCACCUCUACAUUCAUAAUCUAUUCUUAACACGCUAUGAAUGUAACUCUGCAGGAAGAACACGAGUUCCCCACAAACAUGUGUGAAUGCACAUGUAGGUUUUAUGGAAAUCAAUAGACCAUUAACAGAAUGAGAUAAGCUCAUAGUCAUCUAUUCAAGAUUACUUUCGAAAAAUUACUUAUAUUGCCCGGACAUCUGCCGGUGGAUCACGGUAAAAAUAUACGACUUAUAAUCAUCGCGUGGGGAUGUUGAGUACAUUAAAAUGGUACACAUAACUGAAAACUAUACCACAAAUGCAAUGUGCUUGUGUUACUGCGAUAUAAAAGAAGCUAUCAAGAGAAUGACAAAAUCUAUGAUGCCAUUUGCAUACAGAAUUACACAUGCACUGAGAGAAAUACACGGCUAUGUUUGUGGCUCACUUUAUCUCCAAGGCUUAGCCAUUGUGGACAAAGAAAAAAGGAAUUAGGAUAGACCAAUUUGUAAGCCCGGCCCAGUGCCCAUACUUUCUUAACUGGUAAAUGUUGGCAUGACCAUCAAUAUGGUCUCACAGGAAAAAGCAUAAUAGUUCAGCUAUAUAUAGUGCCCAUACUUUCUUAACUGGUAAAUGUUCUUUUUUCCUCAUCUAGCAAGUACUCCUAACAAAUGUGAGCACAGAUCAUAGCCUGAUCAUGCAGUUACUGAAUAGCUAAUAAUCCAGAACAGGUAUCCAAAAGAAAAAUACAUGGCAUACUGUAUGUAAUCAAUGUGCAUUCAUACAAACCUGCUGGCCAAAUUCUACUUUGCCUAUUGCCUGGACCAUUGCAGCUAGCUAGUAGCCAUCAGAGUAUACAUUUCCGUUGUUAUCACUAUAGUGAAAAUGGGACAGAACAAAGAGAAGUGCAAAUGAUUAUAAUUAUUAUUACAUCAACAUGUAGGCAUAGGGCUAUAUGUUAUAAAUUGAUAAAAUGCAAACCUUUAGAAGCUGAAGAAUAAAUUCAACAGCUUGUCUCGGGCUGCUCUUAUCUGAUGAUCUAACAAGAGCUACUGCAUGAGGAAUUUCCUAACCGAAGAAGCACAAAGAAAAAAAGUCAGUGCAACAACAAUGGCUUGAGACAGCAUGACCAUGAUCAUUGAUUUACUAACUUAAUCAACAUCCAUCCAAUUCAAAUGACAUCAACAACAUUCGUAUGGAUAAAGCAAUGAGAUUAGAAAUCCCCCCACCAGCCUUUUUUCUAUUUUAUAUUUUUCGUUGAAAUUUCAUGAUCCAGAAGUCCUUCGAACACUCAUUGAGUUUUUUCUGUAGUAAAAUACAAGUAACAAUAUUGACAGUUAAGCUUGCUAUUCUGUUUAAUAAUGACACAAGAGGAAGUGUAUCUUGCUAUUAUGUUUAUUCUCAUGUAUGACUGUAAGCCCAACUCCUCUAAUAUUGUCAAAAAAAAUAUUGAAACUGCAUUUAACAAACUACAGAUGAAUAUAUAAGAAAUCUUGGUAAUGAUGCUAUACAAUGGAUUGUGUUGCUACGGUUAAUCACAAAUACAGUUCCUACCUCAGAGCAUUACCUCAAGAACAAAGUAUUCUGGAAUAUCAUGGAAGUCGUUUGGCCUAGUAGUAAAACAAAAUAAUGUUUAUUACACAUUUAAAACACAAAACAAACAUAGCCAUGGAUACAUGAUAGUUUAUAAUUAAAACAACAGAAUUACAUAUGCACUGACAAUUUUUUUUGUUGAUGUAACCGAUGACGUCAAGAAGACGAGCACAUGUGUUAUGCGAGGAACAUCGAAUUUAACUAUGCAAAUAUAGGUACAUCUAACAUUUGUUCCUGAUAUAAAAAUCUCAUGUCUGCCAAUGCAGUCCAAGCAGAUGGUAAACUUAGUUCGGAGCAGAAAUAUGUCUGAGGAUUUUAAUCUUUGCAUAAGUAGAAGAAUGCUUGCUACAACUUCCUAUGUUCGGAGCAGAAAUUUCAUGCCUACCAAUGCAAGUUCUUGUUCAGUCACCGGUUAUAGCAUCUUGCAAAUUCAGUUCUAGCAGUAUUAAAAUGUUGACCGCUGCUUUUCUCUGUUAGAGCUAGCUGCUAGCUCUGACCAGGAUUCUUUUUUUGAAGGAUGUGAUGCACACACACACACCGUCCUUCCUUCCUUUCCUGUUUUUUCACUCACACAAACACAAGAGCUAGUAGUAUGAAUCUUUAUUGACUCAUCUCAAAUGCUACAGCAAGCUUACUUUCUUAUAGCAGGCUUAUGCCUUAUAAGCUAAGAAAAUCUAAACCGACCUAUACUACUAUAUAUGCUACAAGACACAAGGAUUAUCAUGACAGCCGUAACAUGCACGGCACAUUAAGUGGUGAUGAUAAUUUACUAUUUUUUGCUGCUGUGUGCAGUGCCUCGUCAUUGCAUGGAUAGACAAGGGGAAGGAAAAGAAGAAGAUGAGUUUGCAAUAGCUAGAGCGGCCAGAUCGGGCCAUGGGGGAGAGGGGAAGCUGACCUUAUGUUCAGGCGAUGGGUGCUGGCCAGCUCCUCCACCUCCUCUGGCCGCUCUAGCUAUUGCACCUACAAAGACAAGAUGAGACACGGGUCAGAGAGAGAAAGAACAAAUGAGAGGAGAGGGGAGAGCCAGUGGUGGCUUACCUGCUACACAUACGCAAAGAAGGGGAGGUACACGAGCCGCAUCAUCUCCUCCAACACCGCAUGGAUCCAAUGGAUAUGCCUGCAGCACGAACAUGAAAAGAGGAACAUGGCGUGAGGAGAACGAAAUGAAUCCUAGGGAGAGGAGGGAUGGGAGUGAGGAGGCACCUUGAUCCGUGGAGAGGAAAAUAAGCACACGCUCCAUCACAGAUCCGUGGAGAGGAGACGUCCGUCGCCGGCAUCCAUCGCCGGCCCACCGGGCCCUCCGACCGCAAACUGCUCUCAUAGGAGCUCCUUGACGAACAACUCCAUGGCGUGGGUCUCCUCCCUCCAUGUUAUGGGUCUCUAGAUGCAGAUCCUGUCCCGUCACGGAUCUAGCCGCCGCCAUGGCCUGCCUUCUGGAUCCGCGUCUCCUCGCCUCUGUUGAUGACCGUAUGCAAACCACACCAUCGAGGUAGGUCUGCCGCCACCCCGUUUGGGUGCGCGCCAGGACGGAUGCCUCACCGGCGUCGAGGUGGCAUUAGAAGGCGCCGAAGUGGGGACGAUGGUGGCUGGAACAUGUGGAUUGGGAUUGGACGGGGUGAUUGGGAGAGAUGGAGGCGGCUGCAGUAACUUGCUAGGGUUUCGGCAUAGAGGCACCCGGGUGUGGGCUUGUGGAAUUAUGGGCUGGCACUAAAAAUUUGGUCUCCCCGCGUAUGUUACACAAAAUUUUCCUUCUCCGCGCAUUGCAUCAGCUAGUUUUGGACUUUAUUUUUUUGCCCGUUGGUGGCUGCCAGUGGGCCCUAUUUCAGCUUCCUAUGAGAGCAGUUCGUUGUGAUUGAAAUUAUGAAACGUUCACAUAUUUUGACUAAUA
rnacentral:lncRNA from 1 species